AUGCACCCGCGUCAUUCAUCGCCAGUCAAUGUUAUCUUCCACCUACCCACUUCCUCUCGCCUUUACUCCUGCACUCGUUCCCCCAUUUUCCUCCUCCACCUCCACCACUACCGCCGCAUCUACUCCACUAUAGCCAAUCAUUUUCCCUUUCUCUUGUUGUUCUUCUGGAUCUCCACUGCUUCGAGCUAUCUCUCCCUUCCAGAUACGUCUAUGGUGUCUUCGUCUUCCUUCGUUCCUGCUGCGUUGCCAGCCGCAGCCGAAGACAUCGCUCCUCUCCCACUCAUCCGGUGCCCUAGAUGCAACCUCGGUGUGAUCCAGUGGUUCAUCUCUGAGACCCCCAUGAAUCCCGGUCGUCAUUUCUACAAGUGCCAGUUCCGUGAUAUCGGGCGUUGCAACUUUUGGAAAUGGGAGAACAAGUACAUCGACUACCUGCGCGCUCGUUGGUCGCAUGUGUUUCUUCCUGCACCUCCUCCUGCCGUUCAAGCCCCCACCAUGAUCCUCCGUGAGAUUUAG
rnacentral:rRNA from 1 species